GUAAACAGAGGAGAGUAUCACAUUUUCCACUGCUAAGCACAAUGCUUUCUAAGUUGAUCAUUUUAGUGCUUCUCAAUGCUUCAGACUGAAGUGGUUUUAAGGACAUGGGAAAUGGAUCCAACCUGGUGCAACCUGUAGCAAGAAGUUUCUUCAAAGACUCCAGUCCAUUUUUUCAUGUUCCGUCAAUGUCUUUCUCCAUGCCCCAGACCUCAUCUCUGAAUGUCAGGCCUACAGUGGACACAUCCUACAACUCCCUCAAAUUCAGCAUGUUCAAAGCACAGCUCAUCAUUUCCACCUUCCCCUUGAUCUUUUCUUCUAUCUUCCCCUUGUGUUCUAGAUCUUGGUCGACCCCACUACCACCAUCCACUCAUUAUCCAGACUUGAGGGAGACCUUGGAGUCAAUAGCAGCCCUUUCCCCAGUCCCCUGUCUUUUUAUUUGGUCAAUAGGUUCUGUCUUUUCUACCUCGAAUCUAUUUCCAGUGGCACCCCUUUUCUUCAUCCCUGCUGCCAUUGUGUGAAUUCAAGGCCGCAUUAUUUCGCUUCUGGAAUAUUGCAGUAGCUUUCUACUCCUUCUACUUCUAGUAACUCACCCUUCUUAACUACUGUCUCUGUCCUUCUCUCCGGUUUAUUUUCUGUGGUGUCACUCAAAUGAUCCCAUUAAAAUGUGCAGCUGCUCAUGUCACUCUCUUGCUUAAAUGCUUUCAGUGGUUACCCAUUGAAACUGAAGUUCCCUAAAAGAGACUCCAGGAUUCUUUUAGCCACUCCCGGCUAAUCCUUAGUGGAUUCCACAUCAGAGUCAUGAAAAUGCAGAUCCUCAAAGACCUCAUGCUCCCCAGGCCUCUGGGGCCUUGCACAGGUGUGGCCUCUCGCAUGCCCUUCUUCCCUUGUUUACCUUUUAAACUCUUAUUCAUCUUUCAUUCUUCAUUCUCUGUAAAAUCUUCUCUGAUUCCUCAAAUUAGAAUUAAAGGCUCUAUCUAUGCUCUGUG